rnacentral:rRNA from 1 species
UACGUAGGUGGCAAGCGUUGUCCGGAUUCACUGGGCGUAAAGCGCGCGCAGGCGGUCUUCUACGUCUGGGGUGAAAAUCCGGGGCUCAACCCCCGGACUUGCAGUGAGUACGGGCAGACUAGAGUGUGGUAGGGGAGACUGGAAUUCCUGGUGUAGCGGUGAAAUGCGCAGAUAUCAGGAGGAACACCGGUGGCGAAGGCGGGUCUCUGGGCCGAUACUGACGCUGAGGAGCGAAAGCAUAGGUAGCGAACAGG